UAUCUAUUUCAUUCGGUAAUCAGGGUAGAAUCUAAGACCCUGUAAAGUGUUUCACAGGCUCUACUACUCAAUUCUAUUUCAUCAUGUCCUCGACGUGCAGAGUGGUAACCUGUUCCACUGUAUAUCCAAGCUUCAGUAAACGGUCUAGUUCCAAACUUAUUGGCGGAUGGUAAAGCACGGCUGAACAGGAGAAA
rnacentral:ribozyme from 1 species